rnacentral:lncRNA from 1 species
UAAAGUCUAUGAAUUGAGGUGAAUACUUUAAACAACUGGGUCAGGCGUCCCGUAUCCCAAGAUAUUGGGAAUGAGGAUAGGAAUACUCCCUCUCAUCCUUCCUUUUUUUCCCCAAUCUCUCGUUUUCUCUCUCUCCACCAUGGCCGGAAUUUCACCAUUGUCAAAACCCAACCAAAACUCAACACAAAUUCACCCUUUAAAU